GAAUGCUUCUGAUACUGUCCCUUCUAACUCGACACUCUAGAAUUCCAGAUUCUUUCUGUCAAUAAAUGGCCAGAACAUGGUGGUUAAUAAACACAAAAAGUUCAGAGGAACAAAUAGGGUGUUGGACCCAGGUGGGCAAUAGAAAGAUUUCAUUGCAAUUCAGUGGUGAACAGUGUGCUCGUUUCUCCAGCACUGAGGUAGACUUUUAUACGUCAGCCUUAUCUCCAGGAGUUUAUUUACAUCUCUGAGGACUUCCGUGACACCUGUUAUGAUGAACCUCUGGCUUCCAUUAAAAAAAAAAAAAAAUUCCACUACUUUGGGGCAUUGUUCAGUGUAGAAAGCAAGGUAGGGCAUUUUGGGAGCAGUACACAGACUGAUCUGAGUGUCGUCUCAUAGGGUAUCUAUUUGAGACCAUCAUGGAAAGUUUGGAGUGCUGGGCCACUUGUCAGCUCCAUGGAAGACUCCACAGCAUGUCCUGGUGGGCUCAUCAGGAUGCUCCUGGGGAUAAAGUUUCCAUCUGAGUGUGAAUUAAAAGUUCACUUUACCUGC